CAGACAAGCAGGGACCUCAAGAUGGAGUCACAGACACAAGUCUUCAUAUUCCUGCUACUCUGGUUGUCUGGUGCUGAUGGAGACAUUGUGAUGACCCAGUCUCCCAAAUUCAUGUCCACAUCAGUAGGAGACAGGGUCACCAUGACCUGCAAGGCCAGUCAGAAUGUGGGUACUGCUGUAGCCUGGUACCUUCAGAAACCAGGGAAGUCUCUUGAACUGCUUAUCUAUGGGGCAUCCAACCGGUACACUGGUGUCCCUGAUCGCUUCACAGGCAGUGGAUCAGGGACAGACUUCACUCUCACCAUCAGCAAUGUACAGGCUGAAGACCUGGUAGAUUAUUACUGUCAGCAGGUUACAACUAUUCUCCCACAGUGA